UACGGGGGGGGUAAGCGUUGUUCGGAAUUACUGGGCGUAAAGGGCGUGUAGGCGGCCAACUAAGUCCGACGUGAAAUCCCCAGGCUUAACCUGGGAACUGCGUCGGAUACUGGAUGGCUUGAAUCCGGGAGAGGGAUGCGGAAUUCCAGGUGUAGCGGUGAAAUGCGUAGAUAUCUGGAGGAACACCGGUGGCGAAGGCGGCAUCCUGGACCGGCAUUGACGCUAAAGCGCGAAAGCCAGGGGAGCAAACGGG
rnacentral:rRNA from 1 species